rnacentral:rRNA from 1 species
CAGCCGCCGCGGGAAUACGUAGGGUGCGAGCGUUAAUCGGAAUUACUGGGCGUAAAGCGUGCGCAGGCGGUUUUGUAAGACAGGCGUGAAAUCCCCGGGCUCAACCUGGGAAUGGCGCUUGUGACUGCAAAGCUAGAGUGCGGCAGAGGGGGAUGGAAUUCCGCGUGUAGCAGUGAAAUGCGUAGAUAUGCGGGGGAACACCGAUGGCGAAGGCAAUCCCCUGGGCCUGCACUGACGCUCAUGCACGAAAGCGUGGGGAGCAAAUGGGAUUAGAUACCCGCGUAGUCCCUGUCUCUUAUAC